UUUCCUUAUCACUUUUCCAGCCAGCUUUGUGACUCUAAGUGUUGGACGGAGAACUGAUAAGGGU
rnacentral:miRNA from 1 species